GCUAAGUGGGUUCCCUUUAUUGACUAAUGUGUCCUAAUGUCCUCAUUCACACUCUGCUCUCUCCAUCAAAAACUCAUACCUUCUAGUACUGAGUUUAUACUACCCUAAUGCCUCGAACUCCUCCUAUUUCGCUUGUGCUUGUUCCCUCUAAGCAGCUUAUCCUGAAUGUAGAAGAAAUCUGCUUAGGCUUAAAAGAUCUCUCAGUGGCCCCACCAUCUCUGUUUCCCCCUGCGUAACCUCCUGGGCUCCUUAGAGUCUGGUCCAGCUUACAAAGAUAUGCUCCUUUAGUGUGUCCUUACGACUGUGCCACAGAUCAGCUGGGGGAAAAGAAGGUGCCUUAGCCUAGUGCGUCAGCUCCCAGAUCCCUUAUGGGGGCUUGGAAACCCAGCUCAGGCAUCUAAUCUUCUGCUACGUAGACCCUACCUGCUCCAGCUACCCUACUUCUGUGGUACCAGUGGUUUGUUUUCCUAAGCCACGUGUCUCAAAUGUUCUUGUCUUGGUUUUAUUUACAGCUGUGAUCAAUUUCCCUGACAAAUUGAGGUGCUUUUAUUUUCUCAGCACAGACCAGUGAUCUGCUUAGGAGCUCAUCAAGUUGAUGAACCUUCCAUCUGGCAGGAGCUUUGCAGGCAGCUAUUGAAUAGAGAGCCAGGAAGGGACUGCUGUACAUAAAGACACCAUUCCUCCUUCCUCAGAGCCCCCUACUUCCAAAGUUUUUACUGAAAGCAAGAAGGAACCACUAUACUUGGCAAAAACCAGUGGGACUAUCUCUGGUACUGUUGGCACUGACUGUAUGGUGGGACUUGUGAGCCUGUUGGUGAGGGAAGGUCCUGUUCUCUUCUGAUUUCUUGGCUUAGAGUUCUCUGCAGAUUGGGUACAGUCUGCAAGUCCAGGGUCCUUGAAGCCAAAAGGAUGUGUUAGGUUUGGUUAGAUUUGGAAAUGGGUGGGUUCAUGGUGGCCCUUGCACUAUUCCUCGCUCAAGAGUAGAAAAACUCUGGAAUAGCCUUGGCAUUCUGGAUCCCCUUGGGGUGGCUGUUUAGGCCCCAUAUUAACUCAGCUCUAGAUCUCCUGAUCCCCUAGCCAGACUGUGUAGAGGAGAGGAAAAAUGACCUGCCACCCUUCCUUCCCAUGGGGUGAGGUAGAACCCACCAACCCUUCAGGAAAGUAGGAAGGACCCCUGCCUUCUCUGGCUCAUCUUCCCAUCUCACUCACCCAGCAGUAGCAGCUUGACAGUCUUGGCUUCCUUAUCAGCAUCCUCCUGCAGCUUCUUUUCUAGCUCCUUGGACCUCUUGGCCAGUUCUUUGUCCUCAGCACUGGCUCCACUUCCCAUAUUUGCCGUCUUGUCAGCUUUUUCAGGCCCCUAAUCCUCUCUCGUAAGGUUUCCUGUAUGUGAGAUGGAAGAGAAGGAAAAAAGUUGGGAUUGAGUAUCCCAACUUGGCUCCCCUAAAAGCUGGUCUGUACGAUGGCAGGUGAGAGAGCAGGCUGUAGGGUCUUGUACUCUGCCUACAUUGACUGAGACUCCCUACUUCAACUGGAGACCUACUUCUUAGUCUAGGGAUUGUAGCCUUUAUAUCUAGCAAUGUGAUAGGUCAAGCCAAUUAAGAGCUUUGUCAAUAUGGCAAGGGGUAAAGACUCAAAUGUUUCUAUAACUAGGGAAAUGAUCUGCUGGGUUCUGACGGAAGGAUAGGAUGCACGACUACUUCCAUCCUUUAAGGGGUUCAUCCCCUGAAAGUCUCUUGCUUCCUUAGAUUUAUUUGCAUCAUAGAGCUAGAGAUUACUGGCACAUAUGUAGAAAGCAUUCCUUAUGUUGAGCCUCCAGAUUAUAAGGUCUUGAUCUCAAGGGCUUCAGGGUAUCAAAGCAUACUCGUUUACCAUAGGCUGGUCCUGGCCAGGAAAUUUGUUUUGGGUGGUGCCCUUCCUUGGGAAGAUUAGGAAUGUUUCAGCUCCCGCAGUGGCUGCUGCUCCAGGAAGCUACUAGCAUUGUUCCUUUGCAUUGGCCCCUCUCUUUGUACUUCUGUUAUUAGCACUUAUCACUUCAUAUUGUACGUCGUUUUACAAAUCUUUUCCCUCACUGCAUUUCUCCCCCUGGAGCUCAACGGACCAAAUCUGACUCAUCUUUGAACCUCUCAGAACUUGUAGUUUAUUUGUGGAUCAAAAGGUUUGGUGAAUGAAUAAAUGCAGGAAAAGGGUGUAUGGUGAAGAGAAUGGGGUUGCUUCCCUUUGGCCCACUAAAGCCAGCUGAGUCCCAACUUCACUUCAUAAAUGAACUUUGCUGGUAUUCAGUGUGGGGUUUGUGCUGCCUCACACAAAAAACUCUGCUUCUUUGGGAAAUUGGACUCCAGACUCUGGCUUCUCAAAGGUUGGGGCAGCUCUCUCUCCUUCUGGCUCUCAUCCCAGCUGCCCUUUCCUGGGGGAAAAAUGAGGGUGCAGUCUAGCAACUGCCUCACAGACAUUUAGGACUCCACAGGUUGUACUCCUCUAUGCCAAUUAUUUCAGUUUACUUAAAUGAGUGUUGCUGGCGGAGCCUCCUCAGGUGGAGAUGUUUUAGAAUUUUGUUGCCCAAAAUGUGGAUCAAGAGCCAGCAACAUCAGAUCACCCGGAAGCUCAUUAGACAUGCAGAAUCUCAGGCUUUAAUCCAGAACUUCUGAUUCAGAAUCCGCAGUUUAACAAGAUCUCAGGUGACUCUAAAGACAUUAAAGAUUGGGAAGUACUGCCCUAGGGACCUGUUUUCCGCUAAACUUACCUAAUCCUAAGAAUCACCUGGGUUGCUGGUGUCUGUGUUUCCUCAAGUCUUAGGUGCCACUGACUAGAAGAUUACCCUGCUUUCCGAGAUGUUAAAAUAGUGUAUGUUUUUAAAUGGUAUGUUAGCAUCAAACUCCAGAGCCAGAGAAAAUAUUUUAAGCUAAUACAGGUAGUUAUCACAUCUGUGAAGUUUGAAAAACCCUGGCCUGAAACAGUUCUCAACUUUUAGUGUACAGUGGCAUUUACCUGGAGAGCUUUUUAAAAAAUACUGAUUUAAUUGGUCUGGAGUGCAGUCCAGGCACAAGGAUUUAAAAACGUCCCCAGCUGAUUCUAGUGUACAGCCAAGGUGGAGAACUACUGAGGUCGAAGGAUGUAAUUUGCUCUUUCAUUUUAGAGCUGGACUUGUGCAGCAGUGGCCAGUUGGGACUGGGAAGGUCAGGAGUAGAAUCUAGGUCUCCCCGCCUAUCAGGUACCCUGAGCCAUAGCUAAUUAUCUUCCUCCUUCGCACCACCUUUCAGUGACUGUAGGGGCUGAUGGAGAAAUAUGCAGCUGCUGAGGUGCUUUCCAUGGUAGCCAUGUUUUCCCAAUCAAAUUGGCAAGUCCUUAUUGACUUAAGGAAAAACAGGAGAGUCUCUUUGAAAUUGUGACUAUCUUGGAAUCUUGGUUAUAAGGUUUCAGUAAUUAUACCCCACUGCUAGCCCUGCUCCAGCGUACUCACAAUACUGGUAACUCACACUGAGGCCAGAGCCAUGCUGAAGGCUACACUGUUCAAGGGGCUGCCUGGAACUAUUAAUAAUUAUUAUGUUAUAGUUAUUAUAAUUAAUAACUGCUGAACAAUGUAAGUGGCUCAUACCAGUUAAUUAUCACAAUAACUGCUAUUGUCCCCAAUUUACAGACUAGAUUAACUGAGACUUGAGAGUUAAGUAACUCAUUUAAAGUCAGCUGGGCAUAGUGGCGCAUGCCUGUAAUCCCAGCACUUUGGGAGGCUGAGGUGGGUGGAUGACCUGAGGUCAGGAGUUCCUGGCCAACAUGGUGAAAUCCCGUAUCCACUAAAAAUACAAAAAUUAGGCCGGGCAUGGUGGCUCACGCCUGUAAUUCCAACACUUUGGGAGGCCAAAAUGGGCAGAUCAUCUGAGGUCAGGAGUUCGAGACAGCCUGGUCAACAUGGUGAAACCCUGUCUCUACUUAAAAAAAAUACAAAAA
rnacentral:lncRNA from 1 species